GGAUUAGAUACCCUGGUAGUCUACGCCGUAAACGAUGGUCACUAGCUGUCCGGCCUAAUUGAGGGCUGGGUGGCCAAGCGAAAGUGAUAAGUGACCCACCUGGGGAGUACGUUCGCAAGAAUGAAACUCAAAGGAAUUGACGGGGGCCCGCACAAGCGGUGGAGCAUGUGGUUUAAUUCGAUGAUACGCGAGGAACCUUACCAGGGCUUAAAUGCAGUCUGACAGGGGUGGAAACACCCCCUUCUUCGGACAGAUUGCAAGGUGCUGCAUGGUUGUCGUCAGCUCGUGCCG
rnacentral:rRNA from 1 species